rnacentral:rRNA from 1 species
AGAGUUUGAUCCUGGCUCAGGACGAACGCUGGCGGCGCGCCUAACACAUGCAAGUCGAACGGAGUUAUUUUCUUCACUCCGAGCUUUUUGCCAGUUAGCCGGAGCGGCAAUCGGUUUUGCCCAGCAUAAAAAGCAAAACCGAUUUAGGCUCAUAAAGUAAGACUAACACAGAGGGCAGAGAGUUGGGAGUGAAGAAAAUAACUUAGUGGCGAACGGGUGAGUAACGCGUGAGUAACCUGCCCUGGAGUGGGGGACAACAGUUGGAAACGACUGCUAAUACCGCAUAAGCCCACGGCCCGGCAUCGGGCUGAGGGAAAAGGAUUUAUUCGCUUCAGGAUGGACUCGCGUCCAAUUAGCUAGUUGGUGAGGUAACGGCCCACCAAGGCGACGAUUGGUAGCCGGACUGAGAGGUUGAACGGCCACAUUGGGACUGAGACACGGCCCAGACUCCUACGGGAGGCAGCAGUGGGGGAUAUUGCACAAUGGGGGAAACCCUGAUGCAGCGACGCCGCGUGGAGGAAGAAGGUUUUCGGAUUGUAAACUCCUGUCGUUAGGGACGAUAAUGACGGUACCUAACAAGAAAGCACCGGCUAACUACGUGCCAGCAGCCGCGGUAAAACGUAGGGUGCAAGCGUUGUCCGGAAUUACUGGGUGUAAAGGGAGCGCAGGCGGACCGGCAAGUUGGAAGUGAAAACUAUGGGCUCAACCCAUAAAUUGCUUUCAAAACUGCUGGCCUUGAGUAGUGCAGAGGUAGGUGGAAUUCCCGGUGUAGCGGUGGAAUGCGUAGAUAUCGGGAGGAACACCAGUGGCGAAGGCGACCUACUGGGCACCAACUGACGCUGAGGCUCGAAAGCAUGGGUAGCAAACAGGAUUAGAUACCCUGGUAGUCCAUGCCGUAAACGAUGAUUACUAGGUGUUGGAGGAUUGACCCCUUCAGUGCCGCAGUUAACACAAUAAGUAAUCCACCUGAGGA